GCGAGUUGAUGGGAUACCUAAAGUUCCCAUAGCAAACUGCUCAGUAACACACGAUCAACUUACCCUAUAGAGAAAAAUAACCUCGGGAAACUGAGGAUAAUGUUUCAUAAUUGAAUUGGCUUGGAAAAGUUUUUCAAUGAAAAGGAUAAAAAAAAUGGUUUUUAUCUGCUAUAGGAUAGGAUCGUGUUCGAUUAUGGUAGUUGGUGAGAUAAUGGCUCACCAAGCCGAUAAUCGAUAGGGGCCGUGAGAGCGGGAGCCCCGAGAUGGGUACUGAGACAACGACCCAGGCCUUACGAGGCGCAGCAGGCGCGGAACCUCCGCAAUACACGAAAGUGUGACGGGGUUACCCAAAGUGUUCAAUAGAACUGUGGUAGGUGAGUAAUGUCCCCUACUAGAAAGGAGAGGGCAAGGCUGGUGCCAGCCGCCGCGGUAAAACCAGCUCUUCAAGUGGGCGGGAUAAUUAUUGGGCUUAAAGUGUCCGUAGCCGGUUUAGUAAGUUCCUGGUAAAAUCGGGUAGCUUAACUAUCUGCAUGCUAGGAAUACUGCAAUACUAGAGGGCGGGAGAGGUCUGAGGUACUACAGGGGUAGGGGUGAAAUCUUAUAAUCCUUGUAGGACCACCAGUGGCGAAGGCGUCAGACUGGAACGCGCCUGACGGUGAGGGACGAAAGCCAGGGGAGCGAACCGGAUUAGAUACCCGGGUAGUCCUGGCCGUAAACGAUGCAUACUAGGUGAUGGUACGGCCAUGAGCCGUAUCAGUGCCGUAGGGAAACCGUUAAGUGUGCCGCCUGGGAAGUAC
rnacentral:rRNA from 1 species